ACCUGGUUGAUCCUGCCAGACGCGCUCGCUAAUUUAACGGGGAUUAAGCCAUGUAUGCCCUUAAGUUCAUACUGUUCUAAAGUGAGACUGCGAAAGGCUCAGUAAAUCAGUUAUAAUCUGUUUGACUGUAAAACCCAUUGGAUAACCGUGGGAAAUCUAGAGCUAAUACAUGCAACUUCCGGCGCCUCGGCGUCUUUGGCAUUUAUUAGAAAACAACCAACGCGGACUUGUCCGAUAAGGUGAAUCUAGAUAAACUGCAGAUCGUAUGGCUUUUUGCCGACGACGUUUCAAUUGAAUUUCUGCCCUAUCAACUUGUUGGUAAGGUCGUGGCUUACCAAGGUUGUAACGGGUAACGGGGAAUCAGGGUUCGAUUCCGGAGAGGGAGCCUGAGAAAUGGCUACCACAUCCAAGGGAGGCAACAGGCGCGCAAAUUACCCAAUCCAGACACUGGGAGGUGGCUACGAAAAAUACUGGGUCGUUUCCCUAUGGGAUGCGACACCGGAAUGAGCACAAUUUAAGACAUUUGUCGAGUAACAACUGGAGGGCAAGUCUGGUGCCAGCAGCCGCGGUAAUUCCAGCUCCAGCAGCGAGUGUGAAUGUUGCUGCAGUUAAAACGCUCGUAGUUGAAUGAUGCGUAAUGGGACACUGAGUGGACUGCCUCUGCUACCAAAACUGAAUGCUAUGACACGGUCGUCCGAACAACGUUUGGUCGCCGAUCAUGUGUAGACAGGGUGGGGGUGAGCUCUGCCAACAAGUGGGUCAUUGCGGAUUAUCGUGAGAAUGGUGCGUGGCCUUGAAUGGUUGUGCAUCGUGUCUUGCGGAUUGUGCCUUGAGUAAAUCAGAGUGCUCAGAGCAGGCAGCGGCCUGAAUGUAAUAGCAUGGAACGAACAAAUGUGACAACAAGUGUGCUGCAUCGCAGCUGGAAUUGGUUCUGCUAGUUCCAGUCCGCGGGUAGCACACAGCACCAACCACCAAAACGGAUGUUGGUUUCCGUAUUGGGGUGAUGAUUGAGAGGGGCGGUUGGGGGCAUUAGUAUUUGGCCGCGAGAGGUGAAAUUCUUGGACCGGCCAAGGACUAACAAAUGCAAAAGCAUUUGCCAAGACCGUUCCCGUUGAUCAAGAGCGAUAGUGAGAGGUUCGAAGACGAUCAGAUACCGUCCUAGUUCUCACCGUAAACGAUGCCAACCCGGGAUCAGUUCUGAGCUACAAUAUAUGCAUGCUCGUGGUUGGUCCCCCUGGGAAACCUAAAGUGUUUGGGUUCUGGGGGGAGUAUGGUUGCAAGGCUGAAACUUAAAGGAAUUGACGGAAGGGCACCACCAGGAGUGGAGCCUGCGGCUUAAUUUGACUCAACACGGGAAAACUCACCCGGUCCGAACAUCGACAGGAGACGACAGGUUGAAGGUCUUUCGCGAUUAGAUGCGUGGUGGUGCAUGGCCGUUCUUAGUUCGUGCCGCAGGGUGUCAUCUCGACUGAGAUAACGGACAAGACCUUGGUCUUCAUUUGUGGAGCGAGUGCAUUCAAUCGUGCGUCCAGACGCAUGGGUUGUGGUAAAAAAUUGAGAUCGGCAACGGUCUCGAAAGAUUCCCACUCGCCAAACACUGUAUGAGUGUCAAAGCUGGUACAGUGUGCGAUGAAGAGACCACCGAGUAUACAUAAAAGUCGGUUGAAGCGAGGCAAUAACAGGUCUGUGAUGCCCUUAGAUGUUCGGGGCUGCACGCGCGCUACAAUGGUGACAACAGCAAGUGUCUGGAUCGAAAGGUCUGGGUAAUCUCUAAUUGUCACCGUGAUGGGGAUUGUGCUUUGAAAUUAUCGCACAUGAAAACGGAAUGCCUUGUAAUUGCGAUUAAUCAGAUCGCGAUGAAUGCGUCCCUGCCCUUUGUACACACCGCCCGUCGCUACUACCGAGUGAAUCGAGUCAUGAUGCAUUGGGACUGGAGAUUGUACAGCCUCGGCUGACGAUCAGGGAUCAAUGUAAAAUGGCGCAAUUUCGGAGGAAGUAAAAGUCGUAACAAGGUUUCCGUAGGUGAACCUGCGGAAG
rnacentral:rRNA from 1 species